UACGGAAGGCAGCAGUGGGGAAUAUUGCACAAUGGGCGCAAGCCUGAUGCAGCCAUGCCGCGUGUAUGAAGAAGGCCUUCGGGUUGUAAAGUACUUUCAGCGGGGAGGAAGGCGAUGCGGUUAAUAACCGCGUCGAUUGACGUUACCCGCAGAAGAAGCACCGGCUAACUCCGUGCCAGCAGCCGCGGUAAUACGGAGGGUGCAAGCGUUAAUCGGAAUUACUGGGCGUAAAGCGCACGCAGGCGGUCUGUUAAGUCAGAUGUGAAAUCCCCGGGCUUAACCUGGGAACUGCAUUUUGAACUGGCAGGCUUGAGUCUUGUAGAGGGGGUAGAAUUCCAGGUGUAGCGGUGAAAUGCGUAGAGAUCUGGAGGAAUACCGGUGGCGAAGGCGGCCCCUGGGACAAAGCUGACGCUCAGGUGCGAAAGCGUGGGGAGCAAACGAGGAUUAGGAUACC
rnacentral:rRNA from 1 species